AUACUUACCUGGGCGGGGUCAAUGGGUGAUCAAGAAGGUCCAUGGCCUAGGGUAGUGGUCCUCAUUGCACUUGGAAGGUUCACCACUCUAAGGUCUCCCCGAGUGGGAGAGCCUGCGUCAUAAUUUGUGUUAGCGGGGGCCUGCGUUCGCGCGGCCCCUUC